GUCGAGGAUCUUCCGCAAUGCACGAAAGUGUGACGGAGCGACGCCGCGUGGGUGAUGAAGGCCUUCGGGUUGUAAAGCCCUGUCGACUGGGAAGAAUGGCGGGAGGUUAAUAGCCAUCUCGUCUGACGCUACCAGUAAAGGAAGCACCGGCUAAAUACGUGCCAGCAGCCGCGGUAAUACGUAUGGUGCGAACGUUGUUCGGAAUCACUGGGCAUAAAGAGCACGUAGGCGGUCGGGCAAGUCCAUUGUGAAAUCCCCCGGCUUAACCGGGGAACUGCAAUGGAUACUACUCGGCUGGAGUGCAGGAGGGGAGAGUGGAAUUCCUGGUGGAGCGGUGAAAUGCGUAGAUAUCAGGAGGAACGCCGGCGGCGAAAGCGACUCUCUGGUCUGCCACUGACGCUGAGGUGCGAAAGCUAGGGGAGCAAACGGGAUUAGAAACCCCGGUAGUCC
rnacentral:rRNA from 1 species